ACGGCAUGACGGGGACAUUUUCUGAUAAGGUCCUUUAAUCUUUCCCGUGAUUCAUGGAACUGCUCACCAUCUUGCUGCUAAAAGCUAGUGAGAGCUCGUCUUAUCU
rfam:Cephalotus follicularis DNA, scaffold: scaffold924, isolate: St1.